rnacentral:rRNA from 1 species
UACGUAGGGUGCAAGCGUUGUCCGGAAUUACUGGGCGUAAAGAGCUCGUAGGUGGUUUGUCGCGUUGUCCGUGAAAUUCCCUGGCUUAACUGGGGGCGUGCGGGCGAUACGGGCAGACUGGAGUACUGCAGGGGAGACUGGAAUUCCUGGUGUAGCGGUGGAAUGCGCAGAUAUCAGGGAGGAACACCCGGGUGGCGAAGGCGGGUCUCUGGGGCAGCAACUGACGCUGAGGAGCGAAAAGCGUGGGGGAGCGAACAGG